rnacentral:misc_RNA from 1 species
GAUGAAGAACGUAGCGAAAUGCGAUAAGUAAUGUGAAUUGCAGAAUUCCGUGAAUCAUCGAAUCUUUGAACGCACCUUGCGCUCCUUGGUAUUCCGAGGAGCAUGCCUGUUUGAGUGUCAUUAAAUUCUCAACCCCCUCCAGCUUUUGUUGGCUGGUCUGGUGGCUUGGAUUGUGGGGGUUAUCUUGCAGGCCUCUUCUGUUGUUGAGGUCAGCUCCCCUGAAAUGCAUUAGCGGAACUGUUUGCGAUCCGUCACAGGUGUGAUAGUUAUCUACGCCAAAGACGAUGAACGCUCUCUAUCUGUUCAGCUUCUAAUCGUCCCCACUGUGUGGACAACUUUUGAAACACUUGACCUCAAAUCAGGUAGGACUACCCGCUGAACUUAAGCAUAUCAAUAAGCGGAGGA